UCUCCUCCCACCCCGUGGAAGCAACCCCCGCUCGAGUCCUCUCUCUCGCCCCAACCCCUCUUUCCCUCUUUCGAUUGUGUGGUGGCGCCUGCGCCGGCGCCAGCGCUGGAGACGGAGGACCAGCGGCAGCGCUACUGGAGGAGACCGCGGCGGUGCUUCCCCGUCCCCUUCCUCUUCCUCUCCCCUGCCCAACCGGCGGCACCUCAUCCAACUGCAGCGGCGGCGUGAGCUCGCCGGCGACCCGGAGCAGCGGCGCUGCGAGCUUUCUGGCGACCACAAGUCCACAACAACCCUAUAGCCGGCGUGCUUCUUCCCCAAUGGUGGACCGGAACAAGACCUGCAGGGCAUCGAGUACGGCUCCAAAUUCCUCUGGAACGGCCAGCCCGGUACCUCCAUCAGAUUCAGCCGUCCGAACUGAUUUAGCCUGACGCUUGGAUUGCAUAGUGGCAGGGAUUUGGCCCCCGAGUGGUUUUCGUGUCAAUCAGGGGUCACCUAAUCCUCUAGAGGGUUAAAUCCACUAGAGGUUUAUUUCCACUACAACCGAACAAAGCCUUAGGGAGAUAUGCAUUGUUAGAUGCAAAUCAGUUUGAGAGAGAUACAUGCAUAUUUCUCAUGGCUCACAUGCACACAUAAUACUCUCUCUUUUUUUUGCAUGCACAAAAACUUGCAGCCUUGUCGUAGCGGCCGGUACAAAGAUGCUUCCCUCGAGCGCUUUCCUUUUUGCGUGGGGCAGGCACAGCAGACAUCAGCCAGAAAGAUAUGGAUCAUUCUCUUUGUUAGAAGGGAGCGAUAGAUUGGUGGAAUUGUUCAUUGUAUUGCUUGAGCCUCGUGGGCAUAUAUAUAGAAGUACAAUGACCAACUUGGAGUACAA